GCAGAGUACUGGGAGGUUCACAGAAGACCACAGCCCGUUUCAAUUGAACACACAUGAAAUGAGAUGAAAACCUUUGCGAUACUUCUUUUAUUUUCAGUAUGGCACACGGAAGAGAAAUAGUAAAAUGAAACCAUACAGAAGAAAUAGCAUUAGCUGAAAUCCUGAGCGGCAAGAAUCAUUUUUAAGACCACAACUUCACUUGGAGGUAUAGGAGGAGGUGGAGGAAGAGAGAUGAAACAACUCAGCAAAUAGAUGGAAAUGGAAUAGAAUUGUUAUCGAUGAACAAAGCUUCUUGGGAUGUCUUUAAACCUCCUUCCACUGAAUCACUCCAAAGUAAUAGUAGAUGACUUAGACAAAUGAUCUGAGUUACUGAUUUCAUGGAUGGAGAGAAUGAGUAAGAAGCAUACUCUGUCCCUUGGCUGUCAUUCACCGCUUUACCAUAUCUGCACUCACAUUCCAGUGAAUGCGUUGAUUACUGUUCUGGAUUCUCCAUUUAAUAAACUGCAUUAAACUCUCCCUGGAAAAAAA